rnacentral:rRNA from 1 species
UUAAGCGACUAAGCGUACACGGUGGAUGCCCUGGCAGUCAGAGGCGAUGAAGGACGUGCUAAUCUGCGAAAAGCGUCGGUAAGGUGAUAUGAACCGUUAUAGCCGGCGAUGUCCGAAUGGGGAAACCCAGUGUGAUUCGUCACACUAUCGUUAACUGAAUACAUAGGUUAACGAGGCGAACCGGGGGAACUGAAACAUCUAAGUACCCCGAGGAAAAGAAAUCAACCGAGAUUCCCCCAGUAGCGGCGAGCGAACGGGGAGCAGCCCAGAGUCUGAAUCAGCUUGUGUGUUAGUGGAACGGUCUGGAAAGUCCGACGGUACAGGGUGAUAGUCCCGUACACCAAAAUGCACAGGUUGUGAACUCGAAGAGUAGGGCGGGACACGUGGUAUCCUGUCUGAAUAUGGGGGGACCAUCCUCCAAGGCUAAAUACUCCUGACUGACCGAUAGUGAACCAGUACCGUGAGGGAAAGGCGAAAAGAACCCCGGCGAGGGGAGUGAAAAAGAACCUGAAACCGUGUACGUACAAGCAGUGGGAGCACCUUCGGGUGUGACUGCGUACCUUUUGUAUAAUGGGUCAGCGACUUAUAUUCUGUAGCAAGGUUAACCGUAUAGGGGAGCCGCAGGGAAACCGAGUCUUAACUGGGCGUUAAGUUGCAGGGUAUAGACCCGAAACCCGGUGAUCUAGCCAUGGGCAGGUUGAAGGUUGGGUAACACUAACUGGAGGACCGAACCGACUAAUGUUGAAAAAUUAGCGGAUGACUUGUGGCUGGGGGUGAAAGGCCAAUCAAACCGGGAGAUAGCUGGUUCUCCCCGAAAGCUAUUUAGGUAGCGCCUCGUGAAUUCAUCUUCGGGGUAGAGCACUGUUUCGGCUAGGGGGUCAUCCCGACUUACCAACCCGAUGCAAACUACGAAUACCGAAGAAUGUUAUCACGGGAGACACACGGCGGGUGCUAACGUCCGUCGUGAAGAGGGAAACAACCCAGACCGCCAGCUAAGGUCCCAAAGUCAUGGUUAAGUGGGAAACGAUGUGGGAAGGCACAGACAGCCAGGAUGUUGGCUUAGAAGCAGCCAUCAUUUAAAGAAAGCGUAAUAGCUCACUGGUCGAGUCGGCCUGCGCGGAAGAUGUAACGGGGCUAAACCAUGCACCGAAGCUGCGGCAGCGACACUAUGUGUUGUUGGGUAGGGGAGCGUUCUGUAAGCCUGCGAAGGUGGCCUGUGAGGGUUGCUGGAGGUAUCAGAAGUGCGAAUGCUGACAUAAGUAACGAUAAAGCGGGUGAAAAGCCCGCUCGCCGGAAGACCAAGGGUUCCUGUCCAACGUUAAUCGGGGCAGGGUGAGUCGACCCCUAAGGCGAGGCCGAAAGGCGUAGUCGAUGGGAAACAGGUUAAUAUUCCUGUACUUGGUGUUACUGCGAAGGGGGGACGGAGAAGGCUAUGUUAGCCGGGCGACGGUUGUCCCGGUUUAAGCAUGUAGGCUGGUUAUCCAGGCAAAUCCGGAUAAUCAAGGCUGAGGUGUGAUGACGAGGCACUACGGUGCUGAAGUAACAAAUGCCCUGCUUCCAGGAAAAGCCUCUAAGCAUCAGGUAACAUUAAAUCGUACCCCAAACCGACACAGGUGGUCAGGUAGAGAAUACCAAGGCGCUUGAGAGAACUCGGGUGAAGGAACUAGGCAAAAUGGUGCCGUAACUUCGGGAGAAGGCACGCUGGUGUGUAGGUGAAGUCCCUGCGGAUGGAGCUGAGACCAGUCGAAGAUACCAGCUGGCUGCAACUGUUUAUUAAAAACACAGCACUGUGCAAACACGAAAGUGGACGUAUACGGUGUGACGCCUGCCCGGUGCCGGAAGGUUAAUUGAUGGGGUUAUCCGUAAGGAGAAGCUCUUGAUCGAAGCCCCGGUAAACGGCGGCCGUAACUAUAACGGUCCUAAGGUAGCGAAAUUCCUUGUCGGGUAAGUUCCGACCUGCACGAAUGGCGUAAUGAUGGCCAGGCUGUCUCCACCCGAGACUCAGUGAAAUUGAACUCGCUGUGAAGAUGCAGUGUACCCGCGGCAAGACGGAAAGACCCCGUGAACCUUUACUAUAGCUUGACACUGAACAUUGAGCCUUGAUGUGUAGGAUAGGUGGGAGGCUUUGAAGCGUGGACGCCAGUCUGCGUGGAGCCAACCUUGAAAUACCACCCUUUAAUGUUUGAUGUUCUAACGUUGGCCCCUGACCGGGGUUGCGGACAGUGUCUGGUGGGUAGUUUGACUGGGGCGGUCUCCUCCCAAAGCGUAACGGAGGAGCACGAAGGUUAGCUAAUCCUGGUCGGACAUCAGGAGGUUAGUGCAAUGGCAUAAGCUAGCUUGACUGCGAGCGUGACGGCGCGAGCAGGUGCGAAAGCAGGUCAUAGUGAUCCGGUGGUUCUGAAUGGAAGGGCCAUCGCUCAACGGAUAAAAGGUACUCCGGGGAUAACAGGCUGAUACCGCCCAAGAGUUCAUAUCGACGGCGGUGUUUGGCACCUCGAUGUCGGCUCAUCACAUCCUGGGGCUGAAGUAGGUCCCAAGGGUAUGGCUGUUCGCCAUUUAAAGUGGUACGCGAGCUGGGUUUAGAACGUCGUGAGACAGUUCGGUCCCUAUCUGCCGUGGGCGCUGGAGAAUUGAGGGGGGCUGCUCCUAGUACGAGAGGACCGGAGUGGACGCAUCACUGGUGUUCGGGUUGUCAUGCCAAUGGCACUGCCCGGUAGCUAAAUGCGGAAGAGAUAAGUGCUGAAAGCAUCUAAGCACGAAACUUGCCCCGAGAUGAGUUCUCCCUGAGACUUUAAGUCUCCUGAAGGAACGUUGAAGACGACGACGUUGAUAGGCCGGGUGUGUAAGCGCAGCGAUGCGUUGAGCUAACCGGUACUAAUGAACCGUGAGGCUUAACCUU